rnacentral:rRNA from 1 species
AACGAACGCUGGCGGCAUGCCUAACACAUGCAAGUCGAACGAAGCCUUCGGGCUUAGUGGCGCACGGGUGCGUAACGCGUGGGAAUCUGCCCUUGGGUUCGGAAUAACAGUUAGAAAUGACUGCUAAUACCGAAUGAUGUCUUCGGACCAAAGAUUUAUCGCCCAAGGAUGAGCCCGCGUCGGAUUAGCUAGUUGGUGAGGUAAAGGCUCACCAAGGCGACGAUCCGUAGCUGGUCUGAGAGGAUGAUCAGCCACACUGGGACUGAGACACGGCCCAGACUCCUACGGGAGGCAGCAGUGGGGAAUAUUGGACAAUGGGCGAAAGCCUGAUCCAGCAAUGCCGCGUGAGUGAUGAAGGCCUUAGGGUUGUAAAGCUCUUUUACCCGGGAUGAUAAUGACAGUACCGGGAGAAUAAGACCCCGGCUAACUCCGUGCCAGCAGCCGCGGUAAU